GGCGGCGUGCCUAAUACAUGCAAGUCGAGCGAACUGAUUAGAAGCUUGCUUCUAUGACGUUAGCGGCGGACGGGUGAGUAACACGUGGGCAACCUGCCUGUAAGACUGGGAUAACUUCGGGAAACCGAAGCUAAUACCGGAUAGGAUCUUCUCCUUCAUGGGAGAUGAUUGAAAGAUGGUUUCGGCUAUCACUUACAGAUGGGCCCGCGGUGCAUUAGCUAGUUGGUGAGGUAACGGCUCACCAAGGCAACGAUGCAUAGCCGACCUGAGAGGGUGAUCGGCCACACUGGGACUGAGACACGGCCCAGACUCCUACGGGAGGCAGCAGUAGGGAAUCUUCCGCAAUGGACGAAAGUCUGACGGAGCAACGCCGCGUGAGUGAUGAAGGCUUUCGGGUCGUAAAACUCUGUUGUUAGGGAAGAACAAGUACGAGAGUAACUGCUCGUACCUUGACGGUACCUAACCAGAAAGCCACGGCUAACUACGUGCCAGCAGCCGCGGUAAUACGUAGGUGGCAAGCGUUAUCCGGAAUUAUUGGGCGUAAAGCGCGCGCAGGCGGUUUCUUAAGUCUGAUGUGAAAGCCCACGGCUCAA
rnacentral:rRNA from 1 species